AGAACGAACGCUGGCGGCAGGCCUCAAACAUGCAAGUCUAGGGGGCGUAGCAAUACGUCACCGGCGGACGGGUGCGUAACACGUGGGAAUGUACUUACUGGUUCGGAACAACUCAGGGAAACUUGAGCUAAUACCGAAUGAGCCCGAAAGGGGAAGAUUUAUCGCCAGUAAAUCAGCCCGCGUCCGAUUAGCUAGUUGGUGGGGUAAAGGCCCACCAAGGCGACGAUCGGUAGCUGUUCUGAGAGGAAGAUCAGCCACACUGGGACUGAGACACGGCCCAGACUCCUACGGGAGGCAGCAGUUGGGAAUCUUGGACAAUGGGGAAACCCUGAUCCAGCCAUGCCGCGUGAGUGAUGAAGGCCUUAGGGUUGUAAAACUCUUUCGACGGGGACGAUAAUGACGGUACCCGUAGAAGAAGCUCCGGCUAACUUCGUGCCAGCAGCCGC
rnacentral:rRNA from 1 species